AUGCAAUUAACUAACUUUCCUCUCCUUUUUAAAGAUUGCCAGUCACAAAGUGCUGCUGUUCCAAGCCCUCAUCCCACCCAGCUACCACUUUACCCUCAAUUAUCUUCACUUCCUACUACAAAUCCAUCACAGUCUUUGUUUAUAACAGAAGCACAAAAUACACACCAAAGCUUUGCGGGUGGCCAAACCUAUGUCAAUGUAAGUAGCAAACAUUUUCUCAGUUCUGGCUUAGUUGCAAAUACCCCAGAUAAGAGACUUGUGUGCCUCUUGGCAUGUGUAGGUAGAAGGAGAAACUGACCUGGUCCCUCUCAGAGUCACCUUGUUCCUUAAUAUCAGUUAAGAGACACUAAACAGUGCAGUUUCCCUGUGAAUGAAAUGAUGAUCCACUAGAAAGACUAAGGACAAUUUUGACCUAUCAAUUCAUUCAGCCAAAUGGAGUAACUUCCAUUACAAGAACAUGGAGGGCAGCAAUUCUUCUUCCUGCAGCCCCCUCUAAAUAUACUUCAGGGGAAGCUUCUAAAACAGGUUUUGGUGAGCAUAUAGGUUUGUGAGUAGACUGGGAAAAGUGAAAAUAUUGUUAUAUAUAGCACCAUCCAUACACAGGCAGGUGAGAGAAAUCUUUGAUUUGAAAAUAUAUCAAAAACCUUUGGGGAGGAAUUGGAGAGACAUGCCGAACAGCUAGUAAAUAAUUUGGAAGUGAAAACAGCAAUGAAUGAAAAGGUAUGGAUAGUGAUCAGUGAAGUGGCAAAUGUGGUUGUGGCAACCCAGAAACUUCAGAACAUUGCGGCUUAGUUGUUGGAACCACACCCUUUAUUCUAAUAACAGUAAGAAGCAGGUUGAGAAUACAAGAAACAGAAAAGAGAGUAAAGUAAGCACUAUCAUAUUUCUGUGCCUUUUCCUCAUUUGCUCUUUAUUCUGUUUGUCAAUUCCCAGUGGGGAGAACAAUUAAAAAGGGCAGAUGAAGUGACACAAAUAUAUUUUAAAAAAUGAAGGAAAUGAUCAUCAGCAAACAUUUGCCUGUUAUUUCAUAACAAAGUUCUCUAGGCAGCUCAGAUAGAAAACAACAGUGUCAAUACAAAGACCAGAACCCAAAAAAUCUGAACUCAAGAACCAUAAAUACAGCAGCAGCAGCUUAUGAAUAUGCUAGAGUUAAAAGGCAAGUUUUAAGACCUGCGCUACCAGAGCUAUGAAACAGAUUAUGAAGUGUGGGAGACCCAGGCUACAUUAGUUGUUUCAAUGGUUCCAGUAAAGUAUGUUUUCAUAUGAUGCUGAGACCACAAAUACUGC
rnacentral:lncRNA from 11 species